CACACGCUGUCAGUCAGGAUACUAUUGGUGCGUGUGGUGCGGCGUCACGAGCAGAUACGUCGGACCUUUUGAUACGUCGGACCGAGCGUCCGGUCGCUGACACGAAAACCAAAAAGAAAACGACGGUUUAAUUUGUUUAAUUUGACUGUGAAAUUUGUUCCGGUUUGGUGUGAAGAUGGAUUUAGACUCCAUGAGAUAUGCGGACCUGAGGCAGCUCGCCAAGAGCGUUGGGUUAAAAGCCAACAUGAAGGCUGAUGAGAUGCUGAAGACACUGAAACUGCGUUUUGAACACAAAGAUGGGAUGAGGACGGCGGUAAAAUGAGCUCAGAGAGGAGGAAGGUGUCGUCAGUUAAGGACAUGAAGCCUCCAGCUCCUGAAAUGAAACCUCAAUCUGCUGAUGAUCAUGCUGUCGGUGAGGAGGGCCAGAAAGGUGUGUGUUAAAAAAGGUGCAUGAAGCUACAGUCUGAAAAUCCCAUCUGAAAAUAAAGAGGGAACGUUACGCCAUAACGAGUCCACGUCUGGAUCCGAGCGUCUUCUCCUUGUUCUGUUUCCGGACCUCAUUGUGCUCAUCUGUUACAGUGAAUAAAUCGGAGGGAAGACGAUCAAUAUUCUGCAUCUCAUCCAGUCAUCAUUCAGCAACGCCCGACUCAGACAACAAUCCACAGUGAACACAAUAUCUAACUCCUUCUCUCUCUCUCUCACUCAAUUUCUACCUCUUAUCCGAACUACCUCGGGUCACGGGGAGCCUGUGCCUGUCUCAGGCGUCAUCGGGCAUCAAGGCAGGAUACACCCUGGACGGAGUGCCAACCCAUCACAGGGCACACACACCUAACUCCUUCUACGGCUCUGAAUUAGAUUUGCUAACAAUUCCAAAGUGAACAAGAACAACAACCCUUCAGGUCCUUCACCGAGUUCUGGAGCACCUCCUCUGGACGUAGGAAUCGAUGGACUCCAUCUUGCUAAAAUGUGCUUUGUGGAGUUUCUUGAAAUC